UUUUUUCUUGUAUUCAUUUCCUAGAGGAGCCCUACAAGCUGGGACACACCUGUGAUUACCAUCAUCCCAAAUUUAGACCAGAGCAGCCCAUUGGAUGUUGAGUCAUGCCCCUGGAUUCCAGGUCCCAGGCCAUUUUCACGGCUGCCUAAUUGGCUCCGAGGUGACGAGUGGGGAAUGGGGGUGUUUGAUGAGAAGGGUCAGGUCACGGGGGUAGUGACGUGGGUGUUAGGGUAAGAUAUCCGGUGACCUAAUGGUAAGAAUAAAGUCUCUGAGAGGCGGUGCUCCCUUUGGCUGAGGGCUUGGGGAGGUUUUCUGUGCCCCCACAUCAGGCCACUAGCAUGGGUGCGACGUUCUGGGGAAGGCCACAUGGAGCCCAGCAGAGGUUAACAGCACGAUCCCAAGCAGAAGGCAGGUAAGUGUGUGGCGGGCACAUCCACGCGGUUGGUGCCGUCCUCUGGAAACGCAGAACACCUUGAAGCAGAAGUGAACGGAGGUGACUGGGGCUGUCUAGGGAGAGGAUGUUGGGACGUCAGAGGAGGCUCUGGGAUACACGUGAGCAAACAUCAUUGAAAUAUCUCACCCUGGGUCCAGACUGAAGGGGAGAUGGGCACAACCCCCGGAGGCACCCCAAAAAGCAGAACAGUGAUACUGAAGGAGGGAGAGACAGUUGGGCAGGGAGCAGCACCAGGAAACUUGCAAGGAGACAGUGACAAGCAACUUUGACCAGAAGAGGAAAUUGCAGAGUUUGAGGUUCCGUAGAUGAGUGCUGUUCUUAUGCUGCAUAACUUGAGAUCUACCCUCCAAACAAAUUUUUAGGAGCACAAUACAUACAGAGUUGUACCACAGGUCUCUGAACCAUUUGCCUUGUCUAAGACUUUGUGCCUUUGACCUUCAUCUCCUCAGCCCCUGCACCAGCCCCUGCUGCUCUUUGAUGCUAAGAACAUGACUACUUCACACAACUCACAUGGUGCCAUCAUGCAGUGUUGGUCUCUCUGUCACUGGCUUAUUUCACUUUGCAUCAGGUCCUCAAGACUCAUCUAUAUUCUUGCCUUUUGCAGAAUUUCCUCCUUUCUUAAAGCUCGGGAGCAGCCCAUUUUCUGUGUAUACCCUAUUGUAUUUAUCUGCUCAUCCACUGGUGAACAUUUAGGUUGCUCCUAUGUUUACAGCUACUGUAAACAUUGCUGCAGUGAACAUGUGAGUGCUGAUAUCUCCUCAAGCUCCUGUUUUCAAUUCUUCUGGAUAAAUGCCUGGAAUGAUAGGAGUUCUGCAUGUGAUUUACCGAGGAGCCUCCACCCUGUCCUCCACAGAGGCUGCACUUACGUUCACACAUCGGUGCACGAGGCCUGCCAUGUCCCCACACCCCCCAUUGGACCCUAAGAUCCAGCUGUCAAGGGAGGGAAGAUGUAAGGUUGACUACAUGGAGUGGAGGUGGUCACAAGACCCGAGACAGAAGACGGCAUGAAAAAACCCAGCUUGGCUGUUCACACCCAGAUAUGAGCAAGCAGUGGCCAUCUCUGCACCUCCUCCUCGUCUGAUGGUAGCUAGCUCCUAAAAUUGCCCUCAGGGACCAAGUGAGAUGAUGUGCCUGGGACCCAGAACGAACUUCACAGUCACAGACAUAGGUUUGCAAAAAUGACAGCUUUUGUCUCUGACAUUGAAUUUAGGUCUCAAAGCUCUUUGAAGCUGAAAUAUGAUUGUGCGCACCAAAGGAGUGUCAUUCAUUCUGCACCCUGAAACCUCUUUGGGGACUUGGUCAAGAGUGUCCCCC
rnacentral:lncRNA from 1 species